GGAAGGUAGAGAGGUUGUUUCUGAAAGACCCCCUGCUCAAGAGAAAGUGGGGAAAGACAUAAUCGCAAGUGAGAAAAGCCAGAACUUUUUAAGUUCAUUUCUCUUGGACCAAAAGAAGAAAAGUCUCAUUUCUUAUAUUUCUUCUUAAUUGUUUCAUCCAGAAUAACAAGUUCAUAAAAAGCACAAUAUGAUACUUGUAUUAAAACUUGGAACCAAAUUAGAUUUUAAAAAAGUUUGUAGCGAUUUUUAUAAAACCCUAGCCGCUUGCCCCUCCUAUAUAUAAUGUUCUUUACCAUUUUCAUUCUCAACACAAUUCAACCUGCAGCGGCUAAGAAGAACAGAGCUAACAACAAUGAAGCAAUCGUCAAUGACGAUGAUGCAAUUUGAUUCCAGCAUGAAUGCUCUUCAUGGAUUCUUUCUAAUGGAGUCAAUGAAUCACCAAGAUUGGUAUCUUCAACUCAAAGGCUCUUUUCGGAAGAUUAAGUGGAGGAGGCUGAUUUGUGAUAAUGCUGCUCUACCAAAAUGGAUCUUUAAUCUUACUGUAUGUAGAAGGAUGCUAACUAGAAAAAGACUAGCCACUUGGAGUUGUAUUGAGGAUGUUGAUUGUGUGUUGUUUGAUGGUGGUGCAGAAUGUUGAUCACCUCUUUUUCAGUUUCCCUUUCUCUUCACUUGUUUCAGAAUACUGGAAUGGCAACAACAUAGGCAAGCUCAAAGCUGGCAACAAGAGGUUGAAUGGUCAUUGGUGCAUUAUAAAGGAAGAAGUGCAAAAGCUGAAAUAUAUAUGAUAACAUAAGCUGCAAGUGUGUAUUACAUAUGACAGGAAAGGAAUUGUCGAGUGUUUUAUGUCCAAUUAAAUUCAUCACAUAAAUUGGAACUACAAUGAGUAACAAUUAAAUAUACUCAAAAGAA